UACGUAGGGUGCGAGCGUUAAUCGGAAUUACUGGGCGUAAAGCGUGCGCAGGCGGUUCGUUGUGUCGGCGGUGAAAUGCCCGGGCUUAACCUGGGAACUGCAUUUGUGACUGCAUGGCUAGAGUUUGGCAGAGGGGGGUAGAAUUCCACGUGUAGCAGUGAAAUGCGUAGAUAUGUGGAGGAACACCGAUGGCGAAGGCAGCCCCCUGGGUCAAGACUGACGCUCAUGCACGAAAGCGUGGGGAGCAAACAGG
rnacentral:rRNA from 1 species